rnacentral:rRNA from 1 species
AAAAAAGGUAAGCUACUAAGAGCGAAUGGUGGAUGCCUUGACUGGUAAAGGCGAUGAAGGACGUACUAGACUGCGAUAAGCUACGGGGAGCUGUCAAGAAGCUUUGAUCCGUAGAUUUCCGAAUGGGGCAACCCAAUGUAUAGAGAUAUACAUUACCUAUAUAGGAGCGAACGAGGGGAAUUGAAACAUCUUAGUACCCUCAGGAAAAGAAAUCAAUAGAGAUUGCGUCAGUAGCGGCGAGCGAAAGCGCAAGAGGGCAAACCCAGUGCUUGCACUGGGGGUUGUAGGACUGCAAUGUGCAAGAGGUGAGUUUAGCAGAACAUUCUGGAAAGUAUAGCCAUAGAGGGUGAUAGUCCCGUAUGCGAAAAACAAACCUUAGCUAGCAGUAUCCUGAGUAGGGCGGGACACGAGAAAUCCUGUCUGAAGCUGGGUCGACCACGAUCCAACCCUAAAUACUAAUACCAGAUCGAUAGUGCACAAGUACCGUGAGGGAAAGGUGAAAAGAACUGAGGUGAUCAGAGUGAAAUAGAACCUGAAACCAUUUGCUUACAAUCAUUCAGAGCCCUAUGUAGCAAUACAGGGUGAUGGACUGCCUUUUGCAUAAUGAGCCUGCGAGUUGUGGUGUCUGGCAAGGUUAAGCAAACGCGAAGCCGUAGCGAAAGCGAGUCUGAAUAGGGCGCUUAGUCAGAUGCUGCAGACCCGAAACGAAGUGAUCUAUCCAUGAGCAAGUUGAAGCUAGUGUAAGAACUAGUGGAGGACUGAACCCAUAGGCGUUGAAAAGCCCCGGGAUGACUUGUGGAUAGGGGUGAAAGGCCAAUCAAACUUCGUGAUAGCUGGUUCUCUCCGAAAUAUAUUUAGGUAUAGCGUUGUGUCGUAAUAUAAGGGGGUAGAGCACUGAAUGGGCUAGGGCAUACACCAAUGUACCAAACCCUAUCAAACUCCGAAUACCUUAUAUGUAAUCACAGCAGUCAGGCGGCGAGUGAUAAAAUCCGUCGUCAAGAGGGAAACAACCCAGACUACCAGCUAAGGUCCCUAAAUCUUACUUAAGUGGAAAACGAUGUGAAGUUACUUAAACAACCAGGAGGUUGGCUUAGAAGCAGCCAUCCUUUAAAGAAAGCGUAAUAGCUCACUGGUCUAGUGAUUUUGCGCGGAAAAUAUAACGGGGCUAAAGUAAGUACCGAAGCUGUAGACUUGCGCACAACUUAGAUUAUUUAAGUUUAGAAUAUGAGAAACUAAGUUAUAUGUUUAGUUAUAUUUUUACUGAUUUUUAUAGAGUAAAGAUAGAAAUAAAACUUAGUAAAAUCAGUAAAAAUAUUCUUAGACUAAAGUUAAGUAGUUUAAGUUGUGUGCAAGUGGUAGGAGAGCGUUCUAUUUGCGUCGAAGGUAUACCGGUAAGGAGUGCUGGAGCGAAUAGAAGUGAGCAUGCAGGCAUGAGUAGCGAUAAUUAAUGUGAGAAUCAUUAACGCCGUAAACCCAAGGUUUCCUACGCGAUGCUCGUCAUCGUAGGGUUAGUCGGGUCCUAAGUCGAGUCCGAAAGGGGUAGACGAUGGCAAAUUGGUUAAUAUUCCAAUACCAACAUUAGUGUGCGAUGGAAGGACGCUUAGGGCUAAGGGGGCUAGCGGAUGGAAGUGCUAGUCUAAGGUCGUAGGAGGUUAUACAGGCAAAUCCGUAUAACAAUACUCCGAGAACUGAAAGGCUUUUUGAAGUCUUCGGAUGGAUAGAAGAACCCCUGAUGCCAUCGAGCCAAGAAAAGUUUCUAAGUUUAGCUAAUGUUGCCCGUACCGUAAACCGACACAGGUGGGUGGGAUGAGUAUUCUAAGGCGCGUGGAAGAACUCUCUUUAAGGAACUCUGCAAAAUAGCACCGUAUCUUCGGUAUAAGGUGUGGUUCGCUUCGUAUUAGGAUUUACUCCGAAAGCGAAGAAACUUACAACAAAGAGUCCCUCCCGACUGUUUACCAAAAACACAGCACUCUGCUAACUCGUAAGAGGAUGUAUAGGGUGUGACGCCUGCCCGGUGCUCGAAGGUUAAUUGAUGGGGUUAGCAUUAGCGAAGCUCUUGAUCGAAGCCCGAGUAAACGGCGGCCGUAACUAUAACGGUCCUAAGGUAGCGAAAUUCCUUGUCGGUUAAAUACCGACCUGCAUGAAUGGCGUAACGAGAUGGGAGCUGUCUCAAAGAGGGAUCCAGUGAAAUUGUAGUGGAGGUGAAAAUUCCUCCUACCCGCGGCAAGACGGAAAGACCCCGUGGACCUU